rnacentral:lncRNA from 1 species
UGACAUUGACAUAAUGUAACAGUGUGCAAAGAACUGGGUCAAGAAGAGGACCUGAGCCCUAGGACCAUGCCUCAGGACUGCCUGGCCUGAUGACUCCUUGCUGUCCCCAGUUCACCUGGCCGUGCUGCUGCUCCAGUUUCAAUUGUUCUGCCUGCGGCUAUGGAACCCUGACCUGUUCACCGGACAUUCUACCUGUCCCAGACCUGCUGUCCCAGACCUGCUGGAACCCUGACCUGUUCACCGGACGUGCUACCUGUCCCAGACCUGCUGUUUUCAACUCUCUAGAAGACAGCAGGAGCGGUAGAGAUACUCUCAAAGAUUGGCUAUGAAAAAGCCAACUGACACUUACUCUUGUGUUACUGACUUGUUACACCCUCGACAACUACUAUGAUUAUUAUUAUUUGACCAUGCUGGUCAUUUAUGAACAUUUGAACAUCUUGGCCACGUGCUGUUAUAAUCUCCACCCGGCACAGCCAGAAGAGGACUGGCCACCCCUCAUAGCCCGG